rnacentral:snoRNA from 1 species
GGCCAUUGAUGAAAAUGAUUCUGCCAUAUGAGUAAAACUGAUUAUACUCCAACCGUUCCACUUUUUUCUGAGGUA